UGGAUUUUGGCUUCAAAUCUUCAUUUUAAGGCUCAAAGGUUGGGUUGAUCUUUAUACCUUCAAGCACCAAGGAGUGCAUGUGAUGGUAUUGAAAUGUGCGUGCAGGGAGUGCACAUGAUGAUAUUGAAAUGUGUGUGUAGGGAGUGCACAUGAUGAUAUUGCCUUGUGCGUGUAAGGAGUGCAUAAGAGCUAAUGACCAGUGG